rnacentral:rRNA from 1 species
CCUACGGGUGGCAGCAGUCGAGAAUCAUUCACAAUGGGGGAAACCCUGAUGGUGUGACGCCGCGUGGGGGAAUGAAGGUCUUCGGAUUGUAAACCCCUGUCAUGUGGGAGCAAAUUAAAAAGAUAGUACCACAAGAGGAAGAGACGGCUAACUCUGUGCCAGCAGCCGCGGUAAUACAGAGGUCUCAAGCGUUGUUCGGAAUCACUGGGCGUAAAGCGUGCGUAGGCUGUUUCGUAAGUCGUGUGUGAAAGGCGCGGGCUCAACCCGCGGACGGCACAUGAUACUGCGAGACUAGAGUGAUGGAGGGGGAAGCGGAAUUCUCGGUGUAGCAGUGAAAUGCGUAGAUAUCGAGAGGAACACUCGUGGCGAAGGCGGGUUCCUGGACAUUAACUGACGCUGAGGCACGAAGGCGAGGGGAGCGAAAGGGAUUAGAUACCCCUGUAGUC